GGGUCGUCCAGAAGCGCGCAUGCGCAGACGCGUGGCCACAGCCGGCCGGUCAGUGUUCGCAGGCUCCGACCCGGCGGCCAACACCAGUAAGCUACAAGGAGGAGCUUUCCCACUGCCUGUGCUACUACUACCGGCGCGACUUCCCAGCCUGCAGCGUAGGGCGCAGCAAGGGCCUGACGCUGAGCGAGCAGGCGCUGCACACCAAGCGGUUGUCGCCUGGCGGGCACAAACAGAAGGUCGGGCAGAAGCUCCUUAAUGGCCACUGCAAGCCGGCUAGCUCCGGCUGCAGCCGUUGCCGCACACUCGCCUCACCUGAGGCUGGGUCAGACAAGGGCAGCAUGUGUGAAGACUGCGGGCCAGACCCGUCACCAACCUCUGAGGAAAUGACAGACUCAAUGGCUGGGCACCUGCCAUCGGAGGAUUCUGAUUGUGGGAUGGAGAUGCUGACAGACAGUCAAGGUGACGUGAUCCGGCCCCUGUGGAAGCAGGUGGAGCUGCUCUUCAACACAAGAUACGGAACCUCCGGGGAGCUGGGUUGGCUGAAGCCAAUCAAAAUUGAGCCAGAGGAUCUGGACAUCAUUGCGGUCACUGUCCCAAGUAAGCGACGGACAUCUGACCACCCCCUGCAGAAAUGAGGACCGUAACAUAAGCCUCCUGAGGGUCUGCCCUGGUGAAGAAGAGGCCUCCAGGCCACUGUUUCUCUCCAUGGAUUCUGAGGCCCACCUGGGUAUUGUGAAUUCUUUCUCUGGCCACAUCUGCCCCCUGCAUUGUGAACCAGUGUUCUUAGCUCUGACGUUCCAGAAGAUCCCCUCAAACAUCACCUCCCUGGCUUGGCUUCCCUGGGAUUUGUGAGGCUGGAGAGAAGAAAAAGGCAUAAGCCUGAGAGGCUCCAAGUUGGACCCUACCCCCUGCCAAGCCUCAUUUUCCACAUCUUCAGAGGAGAGGGUAGAUUUGGGCACUGGAGCCUCAGUAUGGGGUGACUGUCAGAAGCCAAGAGGGUGCCGGACGCAGUGGCUCAUACUUGUAAUCCCGGCAUUUUGGGUGGCUGACAUGGGAGGAUUGCUUGAGGCCAGGAGUUCAAGACCAGACUGGGCAACAUAAAAAGACCCCCCAUCUCUACAAAAAAUACAAAACAUUAGC
ensembl:lncRNA GTF2IRD1P1 GTF2I repeat domain containing 1 pseudogene 1